UCCGCCCCCUCCCGUCGGACGCUGCCGGGUGCCAGCCUUGAAAAAGCCAACUUUAUUGUUCCUCAGCCCCACCUCCCGGCGCGGCGCGCGGCCUCAGGAUGCACUGAGGCUGAGCGGAGGGAGGCGGCGGCGGGUCGCGGUCCCUCUCCUCUGAGCGCCCGGCCGGAGGUGGGGGGAGUCACGAUGUCUGGGAGCCGCCAGGCCGGGUCGGGCUCCGCCGGGACCAGCCCUGGCUCCUCGGCGGCCUCCUCGGUGACUUCCGCCUCCUCGUCCUUGUCCUCUUCCCCGUCGCCCCCUUCCGCGGCGGCCGCGGCGGCGGCGUCCGGCGGGGCGGCCCAGGCCGCGGGCUCGGGCGGCCUCGGGGGCCCGGCGCGGCCUGUGCUGGUGGCGGCCGCCGUGUCCGGCAGCGGCGGCGGGGCGGUGUCCGCCGGCCAGUCUCGGCUCAGCUGCGCGGCCAGGCCCAGCGCCGGCGUAGGAGGGAGCAGCUCCAGCCUCGGCAGCGGCAGCAGGAAGCGACCUCUGCUUCCCCCGCUGUGCAACGGGCUCAUCAACUCCUACGAGGACAAAAGCAACGACUUCGUGUGCCCUAUCUGCUUUGAUAUGAUUGAGGAAGCAUACAUGACGAAAUGUGGCCACAGCUUUUGCUACAAGUGUAUUCAUCAGAGUUUGGAGGAUAAUAAUAGAUGUCCCAAGUGUAACUAUGUUGUGGAUAAUAUUGACCAUCUGUAUCCUAAUUUCUUGGUGAAUGAGCUCAUUCUCAAACAGAACCAAAGAUUUGAGGAAAAGAGGUUCAAAUUGGACCACUCAGUGAGUAGCACCAAUGGCCACAGGUGGCAAAUAUUUCAGGAUUUGUUGGGAACUGACCAAGAUAACCUUGAUUUGGCUAAUGUCAACCUCAUGUUGGAAUUACUAGUGCAGAAGAAGAAACAGCUGGAAGCAGAAUCACAUGCAGCCCAACUACAGAUCCUUAUGGAAUUCCUCAAGGUUGCAAGAAGAAAUAAGAGAGAGCAACUGGAACAGAUCCAGAAGGAGCUGAGUGUUUUGGAAGAGGAUAUUAAAAGAGUGGAAGAAAUGAGCGGCUUGUACUCUCCUGUCAGUGAGGAUAGCACAGUGCCUCAAUUUGAAGCUCCUUCUCCAUCACACAGUAGUAUUAUUGAUUCCACAGAAUUCAACCAACCUCCUGGUUUCAGUGGCAGUUCUCAGACAAAGAAACAGCCUUGGUAUAACAGCACGUUAGCAUCAAGAAGAAAACGGCUUACUGCUCAUUUUGAAGACUUGGAACAAUGUUACUUUUCUACAAGGAUGUCUCGUAUUUCAGAUGAUAGUCGAACUGCAAGCCAGUUGGAUGAAUUUCAGGAAUGCUUGUCUAAGUUUACCCGAUAUAAUUCAGUACGACCUUUGGCUACGUUGUCCUAUGCUAGUGAUCUCUAUAAUGGUUCCAGCAUAGUCUCUAGUAUUGAAUUUGACCGGGAUUGUGACUAUUUUGCAAUUGCUGGAGUUACAAAGAAGAUUAAGGUCUAUGAAUAUGGCACAGUCAUUCAAGAUGCCGUGGAUAUUCACUACCCUGAAAAUGAAAUGACCUGCAAUUCCAAAAUCAGCUGUAUCAGUUGGAGUAGUUACCAUAAGAAUCUGUUAGCCAGCAGUGAUUAUGAAGGCACUGUCAUCCUAUGGGAUGGAUUCACAGGACAGAGGUCAAAGGUCUAUCAGGAACAUGAGAAAAGGUGUUGGAGUGUUGACUUUAAUUUGAUGGAUCCUAAACUCUUGGCUUCAGGUUCUGAUGAUGCAAAAGUGAAGCUAUGGUCUACCAACCUAGACAACUCAGUGGCAAGCAUUGAGGCGAAGGCUAACGUGUGCUGUGUUAAAUUCAGCCCCUCUUCUAGAUACCAUUUGGCUUUUGGCUGUGCAGAUCACUGUGUCCACUACUAUGAUCUUCGUAACACUAAACAGCCAAUCAUGGUAUUCAAAGGACACCGAAAAGCAGUGUCUUAUGCAAAGUUUGUGAGUGGUGAGGAAAUUGUCUCUGCCUCAACAGACAGCCAACUAAAACUGUGGAAUGUAGGGAAACCAUACUGUCUACGUUCCUUCAAGGGUCACAUCAAUGAAAAAAACUUCGUAGGCCUCGCUUCCAAUGGCGACUAUAUAGCUUGUGGAAGCGAGAACAACUCUCUUUACCUGUACUAUAAAGGACUUUCUAAGACUUUGCUAACUUUUAAGUUUGAUACGGUCAAAAGUGUUCUGGAUAAAGACCGAAAAGAAGAUGAUACCAAUGAAUUUGUUAGUGCUGUGUGCUGGAGGGCAUUGCCAGAUGGGAAAAACAGAGCAGUUUUUACACAGUAGUUCCUCUUAACCGUGACAAGGCACUGAUGGUCUGGGAUGGGGCGAUGAAGGAGUCCAAUGUGCUGAUUGCUGCUAACAGUCAGGGUACAAUUAAGGUGCUGGAGUUGGUAUGAAGGGUUUACUCAAGUUAAAUUGUAUUUGAUCCUGCUGAAAUACAUCUGCAGCUGACAAUGAAAGAAGACAGAAACUGCCAUGUGAUGUCUCUCCCCAAAGUCAUCAUGGGUUUUGGAUUUGUUUUGAAUAUUUUUUCUUUUCCUAAUUUUUUCUCCUUCAUGCCAUUUGGGACAUUGGGAAUACCCAGUGAACUCUCCACCAUCAAUGUAACUCUAUGGACUUUGCUGCUGUUGGUGGUGUGGUUAUCUAAUUUUUGUGAUAGGGAAACAAAUUCUUUUGAAUAAAAAUAAAUAACAAAAAAUAAUAAAAGUUUAUUGAGCCACAGUUGAGCUGGGAAAGUCUUUGUCAAAGACGGGAAGAGAUCAUCUUUUCAAGUAACACACAUGAAGUAUAGAAUAAUGUACCAGUGAAUAAUUUGUAAGGUCCAUAUUUCUCAGCCUUUCAGGAAUUCUGCAUAUCAACAUAAAUGGAAAGUAUAUGGAUUCUUUCCAGUGAAUUUAAUGUGUGUAGUAGGUGGGAAGAUUAAUAACUUUACCUUAUGAAUUCCUUUCCUUGUUCUCUGACCGGAUUUAUAUCAUCAGCAAGUACCAUACUUCAGUCUCUCUAGAUCUGGCCAAGAAUCUAAAUUUUGACCGGUUGAGACUACAUUCAGAUAGAAAGGGAAUGGGGCAUCUGGCAGGCUCAGUCAGUAGAGCAUGUGACUCUUGAUCUCGAGGUCUUGAGUUUGAGUUCCACACUGGGUGCAGAGAUUACUUAAGUAAAUAAAUUAAUUUAAAAAAAAACAGAAAGGGGGUGUCCGUCUAUGGCAGCUACUUCUGUCUUUGCCUUUGAAAUGUUACCUAUACAUACCAUCAGCCCUAAAUGCAGAAAAACCAACUUAAUUGUAAAAUCAUAGCUAUCAGAUAGUCAUAGUCUUAGGUGUUAGUACCAUCCUUGACUGAGCAGUGACUUUGAGCAGGGGGUCAACAAACUUACUGUAAAGGGGGCCAGGUAGGAAAUAUUUUAGGCUUUGCAGAUCACGCCGUCUCCGUCAUAAUCGCGCAGCUCUGCCAUUGUAGCAGGAAAGCAGCCACAGACCUAGCAGGGAAAGAAUUUGAAGCCCUAUUACCCAAAUUUCCAAACCAUAGAAUAUCUGAGACCAUCUAGUUAAUUUCAUGCUGUUUUCAAUUUGUAAAAAGGAAGAAGUUAGUAGUUUGAAUAGCAGGUCAGGCAAAAGUAAUGUGAAGUUUUCUGUUUGAGCUACUUUAAAAGUGUGAACAAUUUUUAGAAAAAGAUAUAAACAGAAUUCAUACCCCACACAAAGUUUAUAAAAAUAGACACUUGGAGAAGCUUCAUAUGAAUAAAUAUAUGAAUGAUAAGGGUAAUCAGAGUAUCUCACUGUAUCUUUGUACUCAAAAUUGUUGGGUCCACAUUUCAUUAUUUUGAAUCCUUCCGGUCAAAUGCAUUGUGGAAGGUAGAACUUUUUGAAUUUUAGAAAAGUCAAUAGUCUACCUAUACUAUAUAUUACAUGACACUAUCCAACAAAGUCUGGAGCAAUACUCUAUUAUCAAACACAUUAAUAUUUCUGUAGCAAAAUGUAUGAAUGUUCACAUUAUAUGAGAUUAAUUGACACUAAAAAUAGUCUUAUGUCUAUUCAGUACAGUUUCUACCACCAAAUAAGUUUGCCUCAAACUUAGGUGAAAAUUUUCAGUUUUCAGAACUUCAAGACAAUUAUAUCUUACUAAUUUGGGGGAAUUAAGCACCUGAUAAGCUUUUGGACUCAAUUUUGAGAGCAAAGGUCACUAUCAUUGAAAAAUUAACACCUGUCAACCAGAACAAUGUUAGGCAACCUUUCUAAGAUUAAUGAAUGAUCUUUUGCAAAGAUGUAGAAAGAAUAUUCAAAAGUAGAUUCUUCACUUAAAGAUAUGUCCAGAAAAUCAGAUUGGGAAGCAAAGAAUUAAUGCCCCUUUGAAUGCAUUUAAAUAAAAGAUUACGGUUUUUAA